rnacentral:rRNA from 1 species
AUUGAACGCUGGCGGCAGGCCUAACACAUGCAAGUCGAACGGUAACAGGAAGAAGCUUGCUUCUUUGCUGACGAGUGGCGGACGGGUGAGUAUGUCUGGGAAACUGCCUGAUGGAGGGGGAUAACUACUGGAAACGGUAGCUAAUACCGCAUAACGUCGCAAGACCAAAGAGGGGGACCUUCGGGCCUCUUGCCAUCGGAUGUGCCCAGAUGGGAUUAGCUAGUAGGUGGGGUAACGGCUCACCUAGGCGACGAUCCCUAGCUGGUCUGAGAGGAUGACCAGCCACACUGGAACUGAGACACGGUCCAGACUCCUACGGGAGGCAGCAGUGGGGAAUAUUGCACAAUGGGCGCAAGCCUGAUGCAGCCAUGCCGCGUGUAUGAAGAAGGCCUUCGGGUUGUAAAGUACUUUCAGCGGGGAGGAAGGGAGUAAAGUUAAUACCUUUACUCAUUGACGUUACCCGCAGAAGAAGCACCGGCUAACUCCGUG